rnacentral:rRNA from 1 species
UACGUAGGUGGCAAGCGUUGUCCGGAUUUACUGGGCGUAAAGAGCGCGCAGGCGGUCGUUCAAGUCGCGUGUGAAAGCCCCCGGCUCAACUGGGGAGGGUCACGCGAUACUGAUCGACUCGAAGGCAGGAGAGGGUAGUGGAAUUCCUGGUGUAGCGGUGAAAUGCGCAGAUAUCAGGAGGAACACCAAUGGCGAAGGCAGCUCGCUGGGACGGUACUGACGCUGAGACGCGAAAGCGUGGGGAGCAAACAGG